rnacentral:snRNA from 1 species
CUGCUUGCUUUGACACUACAUAUACUAAAGUUGGAAUGAUACACCCCUGAGUGAGGAUGACAUGCAAAUGCAUGAAGUGUUCCACAUUUAA